rnacentral:rRNA from 1 species
AUUGAACGCUGGCGGCAUGCUUUACACAUGCAAGUCGAACGGCAGCGCGGGCUUCGGCCUGGCGGCGAGUGGCGAACGGGUGAGUAAUGCAUCGGAACGUGCCCAGUAGUGGGGGAUAGCCCGGCGAAAGCCGGAUUAAUACCGCAUACGACCUGAGGGUGAAAGCGGGGGACCGAAAGGCCUCGCGCUAUUGGAGCGGCCGAUGUCGGAUUAGCUAGUUGGUGGGGUAAAGGCUUACCAAGGCGACGAUCCGUAGCUGGUCUGAGAGGACGACCAGCCACACUGGGACUGGAACACGGCCCAGACUCCUGCGGGAGGCAGCAGUGGGGAAUUUUGGACAAAGGGGGCAACCCUGAUCCAGCCAUGCCGCGUGCGGGAAGAAGGCCUUCGGGUUGUAAACCGCUUUUGUUCGGGAAGAAAUCCUCUGGGCUAAUACCCCGGGGGGAUGACGGUACCGGAAGAAUAAGCACCGGCUAACUACGUG